rnacentral:rRNA from 1 species
GACAGAGGGUGCAAACGUUGUUCGGAAUUACUGGGCGUAAAGCGUGUGUAGGCGGCUACGUAAGUCGGAUGUGAAAGCCCCAGGCUCAACCUGGGAAGUGCACUCGAUACUGCGUAGCUUGAGUAUCGGAGAGGUUGGUGGAAUUCUCGGUGUAGAGGUGAAAUUCGUAGAUAUCGAGAGGAACACCGGUGGCGAAGGCGACUCACUGGCCCGAUACUGACGCUGAGGCGCGAAAGCGUGGGGAGCAAACAGG